rnacentral:tRNA from 1 species
GGUCCUGUAGUUCAAUGGAUAGAACGGAAGUUUCCUAAACUUUAAAUCGGGGUUCGAUUCCCCGCGGGACUA